rnacentral:rRNA from 1 species
UACAUAGGGAGCAAGCGUUAUCCGGAUUUAUUGGGUGUAAAGGGUGCGUAGACGGGAAAUUAAGUUAGUUGUGAAAUCCCUCGGCUUAACUGAGGAACUGCAACUAAAACUGAUUUUCUUGAGUACUGGAGAGGCAGACGGAAUUCCUAGUGUAGCGGUGAAAUGCGUAGAUAUUAGGAGGAACACCAGUGGCGAAGGCGGUCUGCUGGACAGCAACUGACGCUGAGGCGCGAAAGCGUGGGGAGCAAACAGG